CAGGAGCGUGGCCCCAUCAGUGCAUGCUGAAGGGCGAAGGGCUGGUACCGAGAAUUAUCCAUUUCAAGCAGAAGGAAAAUGGACCAGUUGUGGUGUUGGGACACAUUACAGGAUUGCCUGAAGGCCAGCAGAUGCCAUGUUCAUCAGUGUGCAAAUAAUAUACAAGGCUGUACCAGUGCAGGUCCUCACUUUAAUCCUCUAUCCCCAAAACACGGUGGACCAAAGGAUCAAGAGAGGCAUGUUAAACACCUGGGCAAUGUGACUGCUGGCAAAGAUGAUGCAAUGAUGUGUCUAUUGAAGAUUCUAUGAUCUCACUCUCAGGAGGCCACUCCAUCAUUGGCCAUGCAAUGGUGGUCCAUGAAAAACCAGAUGACUUGGGCAAAGAUGGAAAUGAAGAAAGUACAAAGAUGGGAAAUGCUGGAAGUUAUUUGGCUUGUGGUGUAUUUGGGAAUUC
rnacentral:lncRNA from 1 species